GCUAGCGUAGCUUAAUUUAAAGCAUAACAGUGAAGUCGUUAAGAUGGGUCGUAAAAAGCCCCGAAAGCA
rnacentral:tRNA from 1 species